UACGGAGGAUCCAAGCGUUAUCCGGAAUCAUUGGGUUUAAAGGGUCCGUAGGCGGUUUAAUAAGUCAGUGGUGAAAUCUGGUCGCUCAACGAUCAAACGGCCAUUGAUACUGUUAAACUUGAAUUAUUGGGAAGUAACUAGAAUAUGUAGUGUAGCGGUGAAAUGCUUAGAUAUUACAUGGAAUACCAAUUGCGAAGGCAGGUUACUAUCAAUAUAUUGACGCUGAUGGACGAAAGCGUGGGGAGCGAACAGG
rnacentral:rRNA from 1 species